CAUGGUUGAGUCAAGAUUUACAACAUACUGUUCGUGUUCCCCUAAAAACGUCGCCUCCAUCUACUACAUCAUCCGUUCAAACCUGUCACAAAUUUCCCUAAUGCCACGUUAGCCUACCGGCGAGAGGAAGUACUACAACCUAUGCGGUAGUGUCGAUGGUUACUCGGGUUGAAAAGGAAACGUCGUGGAUCGUACCUACUUACAGCACCUUUUCUCGUACUACGAGUUCGACUUUUACGGCCGUAACUACGAGUUCGAGUUCGACUUCGACGUUGUGGAUCGUACUUGUUCCUACUUCAGUCACCCCUCGACUUUUUCUUGGUUCUUCAACGUUGUCUCUGACGACUUUGAGUACUCUUUGUUUCUCACUCAAAACUCUACCUUCCGUUACAGAGUGGAGUAUCGGGGGGUGAGAAGGUACUACGUGGCUCUUCACGCUGUCGACCCUAAACCCAGCUACUCGGUAGUACACUCGACAAGGGUUUCCCAAGUCUUCUGAUACUCAACUACGUAACGUCCCUACUCGGAUGUUUGUUCUUCUCGUGUAAAUCGGGGUAGAUACGGUUGUAGUGACACAAAGGACAUAGUCUGCUACUACUGUUGGGUUGACGAUGCUACCAGCGAUGUCUUCCGUUUAACAACUACAUUCGUCGCCGGGUUCGUGUGUACUGUUCUUGUGAUCCUUCUUCUCCUACCGAUUUCAGGGCCGACAUUUUUUAUGGUUCCGUUUCUUCGUCUUCCAGCUACUUGUUCUACUUCAACGUCGAUACAUACUCUUCAUAUAAUUCGUACCCUUUGGUAACUCCUCUUGUCAAGGGUUACUUGUUAACUGUGGAAAGCGGUUCUAUCCACCUAAAAAGUAACCUAUGUUCUUUAAGGAGUAUACGAAGUUCGGGGCGCCCCUAUGCUUACUACUCCAAUACAGUGAUACAUAGCUCUACAUGUUGGAGCGUAGAGUACGUUUUUCGUUAUCCCAACACUUCUUUAUUUACAAGAAUCAGAUGCUCCGCCAAGAUGAUUUUAUUCUGGGUAGUUGGAAGGUUGGUAGUCAAGAGUACGGACUCGAACUUUCCCGACAGUUUUUCAUGUUCUAAGUUUUUAAACUGGAGCAUUCAAAGCGUACUCGGAAAAAACAAAGUAUGGUGUUUAUGAAAGUUUAUACAUAGGCUACUACGCUCCGCUGAUUGUAAAAAAUACAAGAUUCAGGGAAACGUAAGAAAACAUAAAAGGUAGAGAAAAAGUGUUAACAAGUACUCGCGGUAACCUAUCAGCAAACGCGUUUGAACUAAGUGUUCGUUACCUUACAUAAACUGAGUUAGUUACGUUUUCCCUUUCGUAGAGGAAACUUCUUCGUCCGGUUAUUGGACUAGUGUUUGAAACGUUGAGAGUGUGUUUUCACACUACUUAAGUUACAGUUACAACGUGGGAAGGGGCACAACUGGAGCUCCUGAUGAGUUUAGUCUUAUUGGACAGUCAAAAGAAAAAAGAAGAUGA
rnacentral:rRNA from 1 species